UACGUAGGGUGCAAGCGUUGUCCGGAAUUAUUGGGCGUAAAGAGCUUGUAGGCGGUUUGUCGCGUCUGCUGUGAAAUUUCGGGGCUCAACCCCGAACUUGCAGUGGGUACGGGCAGACUAGAGUGUGGUAGGGGAGACUGGAAUUCCCAGUGUAGCGGUGAAAUGCGUAGAUAUUGGGAGGAACACCAGUGGCGAAGGCGGCUCACUGGCCCGGUACUGACGCUGAGGCGCGAAAGCGUGGGGAGCAAACAGG
rnacentral:rRNA from 1 species